CCCAANUNAAUAAGCCGGAGGAAAAGAAAACCCAACAGGGAUUGCCUUAGUAGCGGCGAGUGAAGCGGCAAAAGCUCAAAUUUGAAAUCUGGCUCUUUCAGAGUCCGAGUUGUAAUUUGAAGAAGGUAUCUUUGGGUCUGGCUCUUGUCUAUGUUUCUUGGAACAGAACGUCACAGAGGGUGAGAAUCCCGUGCGAUGAGAUGAUCCAGGCCUAUGUAAAGUUCCUUCGAAGAGUCGAGUUGUUUGGGAAUGCAGCUCUAAGUGGGUGGUAAAUUCCAUCUAAAGCUAAAUAUUGGCGAGAGACCGAUAGCGAACAAGUACAGUGAUGGAAAGAUGAAAAGAACUUUGAAAAGAGAGUGAAAAAGUACGUGAAAUUGUUGAAAGGGAAGGGCUUGAGAUCAGACUUGGUAUUUUGUAUGUUACUUCUUCGGGGGUGGCCUCUACAGUUUAUCGGGCCAGCAUCAGUUUGGGCGGUAGGAGAAUUGCGUUGGAAUGUGGCACGGCUUCGGUUGUGUGUUAUAGCCUUCGUCGAUACUGCCAGCCUAGACUGAGGACUGCGGUUUAUACCUAGGAUGUUGGCAUAAUGAU
rnacentral:rRNA from 1 species